rnacentral:rRNA from 1 species
AAAAAGCCCGCUCGCCGGAAGACCAAGGGUUCCUGUCCAACGUUAAUCGGGGCAGGGUGAGUCGACCCCUAAGGCGAGGCCGAAAGGCGUAGUCGAUGGGAAACAGGUUAAUAUUCCUGUACUUGGUGUUACUGCGAAGGGGGGACGGAGAAGGCUAUGUUGGCCGGGCGACGGUUGUCCCGGUUUAAGCGUGUAGGCUGGUUUUCCAGGCAAAUCCGGAAAAUCAAGGCUGAGGCGUGAUGACGAGGCACUACGGUGCUGAAGCAACAAAUGCCCUGCUUCCAGGAAAAGCCUCUAAGCAUCAGGUAACAUCAAAUCGUACCCCAAACCGACACAGGUGGUCAGGUAGAGAAUACCAAGGCGCUUGAGAGAACUCGGGUGAAGGAACUAGGCAAAAUGGUGCCGUAACUUCGGGAGAAGGCACGCUGAUAUGUAGGUGAAGCGACUUGCUCGUGGAGCUGAAAUCAGUCGAAGAUACCAGCUGGCUGCAACUGUUUAUUAAAAACACAGCACUGUGCAAACACGAAAGUGGACGUAUACGGUGUGACGCCUCCCCGGUGCCGGAAGGUUGAUUGAUGGGGUUAGCCGCAAGGCGAAGCUCUUGAUCGAAGCCCCGGUAAACGGCGGCCGUAACAAUAACGGUCCUAAGGUAGCGAAAUUCCUUGUCGGGUAAGUUCCGACCUGCACGAAUGGCGUAAUGAUGGCCAGGCUGUCUCCACCCGAGACUCAGUGAAAUUGAACUCGCUGUGAAGAUGCAGUGUACCCGCGGCAAGACGGAAAGACCCCGUGAACCUUUACUAUAGCUUGACACUGAACAUUGAGCCUUGAUGUGUAGGAUAGGUGGGAGGCUUUGAAGUGUGGACGCCAGUCUGCAUGGAGCCGACCUUGAAAUACCACCCUUUAAUGUUUGAUGUUCUAACGUUGACCCGUAAUCCGGGUUGCGGACAGUGUCUGGUGGGUAGUUUGACUGGGGCGGUCUCCUCCUAAAGAGUAACGGAGGAGCACGAAGGUUGGCUAAUCCUGGUCGGACAUCAGGAGGUUAGUGCAAUGGCAUAAGCCAGCUUGACUGCGAGCGUGACGGCGCGAGCAGGUGCGAAAGCAGGUCAUAGUGAUCCGGUGGUUCUGAAUGGAAGGGCCAUCGCUCAACGGAUAAAAGGUACUCCGGGGAUAACAGGCUGAUACCGCCCAAGAGUUCAUAUCGACGGCGGUGUUUGGCACCUCGAUGUCGGCUCAUCACAUCCUGGGGCUGAAGUAGGUCCCAAGGGUAUGGCUGUUCGCCAUUUAAAGUGGUACGCGAGCUGGGUUUAGAACGUCGUGAGACAGUUCGGUCCCUAUCUGCCGUGGGCGCUGGAGAACUGAGGGGGGCUGCUCCUAGUACGAGAGGACCGGAGUGGACGCAUCACUGGUGUUCGGGUUGUCAUGCCAAUGGCACUGCCCGGUAGCUAAAUGCGGAAGAGAUAAGUGCUGAAAGCAUCUAAGCACGAAACUUGCCCCGAGAUGAGUUCUCCCUGACUCCUUGAGAGUCCUGAAGGAACGUUGAAGACGUCGACGUUGAUAGGCCGGGUGUGUAAGCGCAGCGAUGCG